GGGAGGGAGGAAGAGGAGGAAUCGCAGUCUCUCCAACAGCAGGGAGAAGGGAGAGCCUGGGAGCCCAGAUGCAUUCGUGCUGGGUCAUGGAUAUAACAGGCAGGGGAUACUACAGAUGACAAGAGGGGGAUAAAACCAGGGGAGGAGGUGUGAGGCACAGUGACCCAGUUACUGCACUGCUCCACGGCUUGUUGUCACACACUUUCCAAUAAUAGAGCCAGAGAGAUAAGGAAACAAUGGUUGCAUGAGGUGCCUGAGGAUGGGAUAGGAUUCCAUGCAGCAGAGGACUGAACCAUCCGACUGGGGGCACCAUGGAGGUUAUGGAGCAAGAAGACCCCCGACAGGAGGAAAUCUUCACAGCCCCAAAGUUCCCAGUUUAUUCCUCUCCAGAUCUGGGCGAGGAUGCUGGGGUGUACAUGGAGUUUAUGUUGAAGAGUAAAUGUUACGAUGCCAUCCCUACAAGCUGCAAGCUGGUUGUGUUUGACACCUCUCUACAGAUAAAGAAAGCAUUCUUGGCAUUGGUAGCUAAUGGAGUACGGGCAGCCCCUCUCUGGGACAGCAAGCAACAUUGUUUUGUUGGAAUGCUCACCAUCACGGACUUCAUCAAUAUACUACACAGAUACUACAAGGCACCAAUGGUACAGAUCUAUGAGUUGGAGGAGCAUAAAAUUGAAACAUGGAGAGAAGUCUACCUGCAAAGUUCCUUCAAGCCACUGAUCUAUAUCUGCCCAUAUGACAGUCUCUUCCAUGCAGUCUAUUCACUAAUCAAGAACAAGAUACACAGGUUACCAGUAAUGGAGCCAGCAUCAGGCAACAUCCUGCAUAUUCUCACACACAAACGACUGCUUAAAUUUAUGCAUAUGUUCGGCGGCACCAUUCCCAGACCACGUUUCCUGCAGGGGACCAUCCAGGAGCUGGGCAUCGGGACCUUCAGGGAUGUGGCCAUUGUACACGAUACAUCAACUGUUUACAGUGCACUGGAAAUCUUUGUAGAGAGGAGAGUGUCAGCUCUUCCUGUAGUCAAUGAGUCAGGUCAGGUUGUGGGACUGUACUCUCGCUUCGAUGUUAUACAUUUGGCAGCCCAGAAGAUCUAUAAUAACCUGGAUAUAACAGUGGGUGAGGCUUUGCGACAGCGCCGCCUGUGUCUGGAGGGUGUUCUGAUGUGUUACCCACAUGAAACAUUGGAAGCUGUGAUUGACCGUAUAGUAAGAGAACAGGUUCAUCGCCUGGUACUGGUGGAUGCAGAUCAGCGCCCCUGUGGGAUUGUAUCUCUAUCUGACAUCCUUCAAGCCCUGGUUUUAACCCCUGCAGGUAUUGAUGCCCUUAAUUCCUAACCCUGGGAAGGCUCUUUUCUACCUUCACCCUGCACCUCCUUCUCCUCUCUAAGGCACAGGUAUAGAUCGCAAUUCCUUGUGAUAGAAUCUCAGGGGUGCACAUGAAGCCAGCUCCAGCUCCCUGGACUACUUUGAUAGGACAUUUUGUGGGCAAAGGCCGGAACUGUGUCAUCACAGGAGAGGAUGAGCGAUUGGAGGCUGUAGCGUUCAAAUGAGAGUACGCAUAAAUACUGUCAGCCAUCGCUUGGUACAUUCCGGCCACAUGAGAAGUCACCAACAGAGGGACAGGUCUUCUCAAAAAUGGAAAUGAAAAGUGUCUGAGGCUCCAGUUUGUGACAGAAGUGUAAUUCUUUGGCUAUUCGCUGUGAUUAUCAGAAUGUGCAGGACGUUUCCUGAUCCUGGAACCUUCACUGGGAUGGAGAAAGAAUAUACUAGUUCCUGAUUCAAGAAAGUGUGUUUUGUUGUUUCCUGCUAGAAGGUCUGGAGGGGAGCUCAUAUCUCUGUCCUGACACGAGAGCAGGACUCAUUAUUGUGUUGUAUCCACAGAUAUAUGCUGUUUACAUUGUGCAUAGCCAUUGCAUAUAUCUUAUUUUCAUUUGCUUAAAAUUGUCACAGCAAUUCUGUCCGAAAUGUAUCAUCUAUUGUAUAUCCUAUUCCCUAAGUGUAGAUCCCGAAAUAAUUCAGUUUAUGCAUAGUUCUGUAUUGAUUUCCAUUGUUGCCAAAAUUCUAAGCGAAUUUACAGGAACAUUCUGCUGCUGAGCCAAUAAAUCUGAGCCUGUCAGACAUGGUUUAUGUAGCUUAAGUCAGGGGUAGGCAACUGCUAUGAAUCUACACAUCCUAAGAAUGCCCUGUCACAGUUUUAGCAUAGACUAGCAGGAAAUCUUUCAGGGCAUGCUGGGAUGUGUAGUUCCACAGCAGCUGGAGUACCACACAAUGCCUACCCUUGGUCUAAGUUAUAGGCAAUCUGGUAUGCAGCAAGGGCCACCAUCAUAAAAGACACACCUUACUCUUAAACACUGUAAUAAGAAUAAACAGUCCCAAUCCAGCCUCUCACUAAUACCAGCAGGACAUAUCUCUCAGAAAUUCUAUAUGCCGCUCAGACCCAUCUGCUUUAUAAAAGGCCCCACAUGCUUCUCAUACUAUGUGAAGUUAAACCCACCAAAUCCCCCCUCCCCCCCCCCCCCCCCCACACACACACACACUCACACACUCAAAAUGUACGGCUAGGGUUAAAAUUGACCCGUUCUGAGCAUGGUAUCCGGACUCCAGGUCGACAACAAAAAGGUCGACACACCUUAGUUCGACGCCAAUUGGUCGACACACCUUAGGUCGACAUGGACAAAAGGUCGACAUGGAAAAAGGUCGACAUGAUUUUUUAAUGGUUUUUUUUUCUUUUUUCGAACCUUUUCAUACUUAACGAUCCACGUGGACUACGAUUGGAACGGUAAUCUGUGCCAAGCGGAGCGGAGCGAAGGCACCAUGCCCGAAGCAUGGCGAGCGAACGCGGUGCACUAAUUGGGGUUCCCGGUCACUCUACGAAGAAAACGACACCAAAAAAACAUAAAAAAUCAUGUCGACCUUUUUCCAUGUCGACCUUGUUCCAUGUCGACCUUUUGUCCAUGUCGACCUAAGGCGUGUCGACCAAUUGGCGUUGACCUAAGGUGUGUCAACCUUUUUGUUGUCGACCCUGAGUCCCAGACCCCUGAGCAUUGGGAUCACAACCUCCAGUAUUCGAUACCAACUUGGGGGGUAAUUCAGAUUUGAUGGCUGCUGUGCACAGCGGGUGAUCAGGUCCUAACUGCGCAUGCAUUACAAUGCGCACGCAUCGCAAUGCGCACGCACGUUGGACAUCAACAACGGGCAUCGUCGGUCAGCGAGGGGAUGGUGUGAAAAAAUUCGAUCGCAAGGUGAUUUACAGGAAGAGGCCGUUUGUGGGUGGUAACUGAUCGUUUAUUGGGAGUGUCUGGAAAAACGCAGGCGUGCCCAAGCGUUUUCAGGGAGGGUGUCUGACGUCAGCUCCGGCCCCGAUCAGCCUGUUCUCAUCGCACUGUAGCAGUAAGUUCUGGGAUGUGCAGAGACUGCACAAAGUGGAUUUUCGCAACUCGACAUACACAUGCGAACGCACACUUGCAUGGAAAAUUUACACUCCUCCUGGAGGCAGCGACUAUCUGAUCGCAGGACAGCAAAAUUAGCGGCUCAGCGAUCAGAUCUGAAUUACCCCCUCGGUAUGGUGGACUUUGGUGUACUACAAUAGCUAUCAUUAUUUCAUCACUAAUUAUAAUGUAUUUGUUUAUAUAUUGAAUGCAUCUAAUAAGUAUUGACUUACAAAGCCUAGAAACUUAGAACAGUUAGUGAAAGUAGCAUUAUAUAUUAUAAAUUAAAUGUGCAAUUGUUGGUAAGUAUUAAAACAUAGUGACAUUUGUGACACAUUGUUAAAAGCUUGGCCCAUCCCUGCAUAUUAAGGGCAGCUGGUAAAUAUGGAAUUCCGUUUUCCUUCUGUGGAUGUUUAUAAUACGUGGUAAUAAAUGUGCAAAUCGAAGAAUGUGGAGGAAUAUGCAUUGUGUAUCAGGUAUAAUAGUAAUGUUUUUCCCUUUUAAUCUUAAUUCUUUGUAUUAAGUAAAAAUUUAGUCAAAAUUGGGAAAGGGGUAGGGUUAACUUACUUCCAUUUGCACCUGGCAUCCACUUCAAAAUGGAACAUGUCGACUUCAUUACAACACCACAUUUGCUCAGCGGUAAUGUCAUACUGUCAUUAUACAGAGGGUUAUUUCAGUGUCACUUUAUUGCCAUAGCAUUACGUAUUUAAAACGAGUAUCCAGCAAGUAACUGAAAGCUGAUGUAGUUGGAUGUGGCACUAGAUAGUUUAGCAACAACUGCUGACCAGUCCUGUUCUUUCAACCAACCUCUCUUGUUCUUUAGCUGGAAAAUAAUUUUCUGCCAUACAUUUGCAAACGGAACUGAUUAAGAAACAGUGGGAAUCCUGCGGAGCACCAAUCCCUACCGAAUUUCUGCUUAGGAGGACCUUAUCAAAAACAGAGGAUUGAGUGCCCCAAGUGGACACUUUCUUACAUUUGUGCAAAGUGCGCUGGACAUUGUGCAUUGAGCAUUGUGAUUUUAUCCACAAGUGAAGUAGUUAUACAGUAUUUGUACAUUAAAAACAUGUUAUGAAAUAAGCUCAGUGAUGUCACUGAGACUGAGAGGGACACUUGCUCUGGGACUUUGGAAUCAAUGUGAAUGACAUUUGCUGGGUCUGCACUACCUUCCCCCUUCUCCAGCUCCAUUCUGACUUGUUAAAAAAAAUAAAACAACUAUGCACUUUUGAGAAAGAUACUUUUCUUAUCAUGUUAGUUUCCUAUUCAUUCAUCUUUAACCAUUUACAGCAAAGUAUUAAGAAAAAUAAUUUCUCAACCAGUUUAAUUCUAUCCCCGGGAGGAAUUCAAUUAGCAGUGCCUUGUUCGCCCGGCUGAAUUUGCUCGAUACCCACUGCACUUUAUGGCGGCAGGAUCUCGCUCAAAAGUGUUCGCUGCCCCAUAGGGUAGCAGGUGCUUUUGAGCAAAAGGGAUGUGAAUCAGCCAGGUGAACGGUGCGAAUCAGGCUGCCGUUGCCGACAUUUAAUCAUCACGGCAUAGGCAUUUUGCCCCCUUUGCUCACAACUGAACUCUCUCUCUCUCUCUCUCUCUCUCUUAUAUAUAAAAUCAUGGAACUAGAUAUGGUUAGUGGAGGUCUUACCUAAAAGCCUGUGUGCAGGUUAGCUUCAAACCAGGAAGCAUGUCUUAUGUUUAAAACUAAUAUAUAGCAAUUGCCAUGUUUAUAAUUCUGAGUGAUAGAGUAAGAUUGUCCUGUUUAUAAAGUAUAGAGAAUACAGCUAUGCAGCGUAGAUUGUCCAUAAUAUAUACAGUGCCUUGCUAAAGUAUUCACCCCCCUGGAUUUUUACCUAUUUUGUUACAUUACAACCUGUAAUUUAAUUUAUUUAUUUUUUUAUCUUAAUUUUAUGUGAUGGAUAUGCACAAAAUAGUCUAAGAUGGUGAAGUGAAAUGAGAAAAAUGUAUAUAAAAAAGAAGUUUUAUAAAUAAAAAUGUGAAAAUUGGCAUGUGCAAAUGUAUUCACCCCCUUUGCUAUGAAGCCCCUCAAACGUUCUGGUGCAACCAAUUACCUUCAGAGGUCACAUAAUAAGUGAAAUGAAGUCCACCUGUGUGCAAUCAAAGUGUCACAUGAUCUGUCAGUAUAAACACACCUUAUCUGAAAGGCCCCAGAGGCUGCAACAUCACUAAGCAAGAGGCAUCACACCAUGAAGACUAAUGAGCUCUCUAAACAAGUCAGGGACAAAGUUAUUGAGAAGUAGAAGUCAGGGUUGGGUUAUAAAAAAUAUAUCCAAAUCUUUGAUGAUCCCCCGGAGUACCAUCAAAUCCAUCAUCUUCAAAUGGAAAGAACAUGGUACCACAACAAACCUGCCAAGAGAGGGCUGGCCACCAAAACUCACAGACCGGGCAAGGAGGGCAUUAAUCAGAGAGGCAGCACAGAGACCAAAGGUAACCCUGAAGGAUCUGCACAGCAGAGACUGGUGUAUCUGUGCAUUGUGACCACAAUAAGCCAUACACUCCACAGAGCUGGGCUUUAUGGAAGAGUGGCCAGAAAAAAAAACAUUACUUAGUGCUAAAAAUAAGUAGGUAUGUUUUGAGUUUGCCAAAAGGCAUGUGAACGACUCACCAAAUGUAUGGAGGAAGGUGCUCUGGUAAGAUGAGACUAAAAUUUUACUUUUCAGCCACCAAGGAAAACGCUAUGUCUGGCACAAACCCAACACAUCCCAUCACCCCAUGAACACCAUCCCCACAGUAAAACAUGGUGGUGGCAGCAUCAUGCUGUGUGGAUGUUUUUCAGCAGCAGGGACUGGGAAACUGUUUCGAGUUGAGGGGAAGAUGAAUGGUGCUAAAUACAGGGAUAUUCUUGAGCAAAACCUGUUUCAGUCUGCCUGUGAUUUGAGACUGGGACGGAGGUUCACGUUCCAGCAGGACAGUGACCCGAAGCAUACUGCUAAAGCAACACUUGAGUGGUUUAAGGGGAACCAUUUAAAUGUGUUGGAAUGGCCUAGUCAAAGCCUAGAUCUCAAUCCAAUUAAGAAUCUGUGGUCAGACUUGAAGAUUGCUGUUCACAAGCAGAAACCACCCAACAUGAAGGAGCUGGAGCAGUUUUGCCUUGAGGAAUAGGCAAAAAUCUAAGUGGCAAGAUGUGGCAAGCUCAUAGAGACUUAUCCAAAGCGACUUGCAGCUGUAAUUGCCGCAAAAGGUGGCUCUACAAAGUACUGACUUUAGGGGGGUGAAUAGUAAUGCACACUGAAGUUUUCUGUUAUUUUGUCCUAUUUGUUGUUUGUUUCACAAUAAAAAUUGUUUUUUUAAA